GGUCGCCCCAACCCCCUGCCUGGGCUCCCCGCCCCAGCCGCCUCGGGUAGAGGGUCCCCGGGGCUGCCGAGCGCCGCGCGGAGGAGGAGACCCCGUCGGGCCCCGCGCCUGGCGCAGCCCCCAGACCCGCGCGCCCCGGUGCCGCCAGCUCGGCGCGCAGCGGGCUGCGGCGGCGGCGCACGAGAGGUCACCGCGGUGGCAUUCCUCCCUGAGCGCUGUUUACGUGACUUAAUGUACUUCUUGCGCCGCGGCUUGUUAUCUAGGCCACCCAAUGACCGACAAAAGAUUCUCCCUCCCUUCUUCUCCCAUGACCGCUUUAAACCAAAUAAAUUGAGCUAUUAAGGGCCAAGAUGUCUGACCAAAGAUCGAAAGGUGUCUUUCGGUGAUCGCUUAAAGAAGCGAAGGAGAAGCUGGUGGCUCGCAAAUCCCGAUAAAGAAAUUCCACACCGGCGCCAACCUCCCUCCCUGCGCGCGGCCUGGCUGCGCCCUGACACCCAGAGAUCGCGACUUAAGCUACCGCAGAUCUGCUUUGGGCCUGGAGGGACAAGUGGCCGCUGCCCCGGGAAUGUGGGGGUCCCCGGGCUGCGGAGUCCGGCAGCGCCGUAUCGCGGGGACAUAGCUUCGGACACUGAGGUCGUUGAGAGCGUCCAGGGUUAAAAUUAAAUCUUGCAACAGAAGUUCUUGACCACCCAUUCAUCGUUGGGACUCACCACUCAUGAGAGAUCUCUGGACUUCUCUAUACGCCAGCAGUGAGGACUUUAUUUAUUGCAUUAUGAUAGGAAAGGAGGUGAGGGGUGAGACAAACACAGGUCCUUUACUUGCUUUUGGUUCCUUUGAAGAGGAAACAUUCCACGUUGUUCCUCUUGCAAAUGCCAGCAGCAGACUCCAAUAUCUUCUGUAGGACAAAGAUAGCAAUCUCAAGGCUUCUCCUCUGCUCAACAAAAGAAUCCUGGUCCACAGCAGCCCCUUUCCCUGGAAACUUCUUUGUGACAGUAGACAGGAGGGAAUUAAUAGGCCAUUAAAGAGGGCAACCUUGAAGACUGGCAUUACUUGGGGGGUGAUGGGGGGGACAAAGAGUAAUAAAUUGACCUGAUCAUCUAACUCUAUACUUAUGCAUAUUAUCUUUCAAUUUGACAUGUUAUACGUGCAGGAGACUUAUUCUACUUUAAGAGCACUUUUUUGGGCGGCGCCUGUGGCUCAGUCGGUAAGGCGCCGGCCCCAUAUACCGAGGGUGGCGGGUUCAAACCCGGCCCUGGCCAAACUGCAACCAAAAAAUAGCCGGGCGUUGUGGCGGGCGCCUGUAGUCCCAGCUACUCGGGAGGCUGAGGCAAGAGAAUCGCUUAAGUCCAGGAGGUGGAGGUUG